rnacentral:rRNA from 1 species
AUUGAACGCUGGCGGCAGGCCUAACACAUGCAAGUCGAGCGAGCGGCGGACGGGUGAGUAAUGUGUGGGGAUCUGCCCGAUAGAGGGGGAUAACUACUGGAAACGGUGGCUAAUACCGCAUACUAUCAGAUGAACCCAUAUGGGAGUAGCUAGUAGGUGGGGUAACGGCUCACCUAGGCGACGAUCUCUAGCUGGUCUGAGAGGAUGACCAGCCACACUGGAACUGAGACACGGUCCAGACUCCUACGGGAGGCAGCAGUGGGGAAUAUUGCACAAUGGGCGCAAGCCUGAUGCAGCCAUGCCGCGUGUGUGAAGAAGGCCUUCGGGUUGUAAAGUACUUUCAGCGGGGAGGCGUUACCCGCAGAAGAAGCACCGGCUAACUCCGUGCCAGCAGCCGCGGUAAUAC